AUACAUGCAAGUCGAGCGGAGUAUUUCCUUCGGGGAAUGCUUAGCGGCGGACGGGUGAGUAACACGUAGGUAACCUGCCUAUCAGAUCGGGAUAACUAUCGGAAACGAUAGCUAAGACCGGAUAAYUGGUUUUCUCGCAUGAGAGAAUUAUGAAACACGGAGCAAUCUGUGGCUGAUAGAUGGGCCUGCGGCGCAUUAGCUAGUUGGUGGGGUAACGGCUCACCAAGGCGACGAUGCGUAGCCGACCUGAGAGGGUGAACGGCCACACUGGGACUGAGACACGGCCCAGACUCCUACGGGAGGCAGCAGUAGGGAAUCUUCCGCAAUGGACGCAAGUCUGACGGAGCAACGCCGCGUGAGUGAUGAAGGUUUUCGGAUCGUAAAGCUCUGUUGCCCUAGACGAACAGCAUGAGGAGUAACUGCCUUGUGUGU
rnacentral:rRNA from 1 species